rnacentral:rRNA from 1 species
CCCUUAGAUGUUCUGGGCCGCACGCGCGCUACACUGAUGCAUUCAACGAGUCUACAACCUGGUCUGAUAGGGCUGGGUAAUCUUUUGAAUGUGCAUCGUGAUUGGGAUAGAUGAUUGCAAUUCUUCAUCUUCAACGAGGAAUGCCUAGUAAACGCAAGUCAUCAGCUCGCGCUGAUUACGUCCCUGCCCUUUGUACACACCGCCCGUCGCUACUACCGAUUGGAUGGUUUAGCGAGAACUUUGGACCGGAGCUCGGGUGGUCAGCAAUGGCCGCCCGAGACAUACUGGGAAAUCGCUCCAGCUUGAUCAUCUAGAGGAAGUAAAAGUCGUAACA